ACCAUUAUCAACAGCAGCUUUUAUCUUGAGUAUCAGGACAAUUUUAUAGGUUGGUGCAUUGCAACACCUGGUUUGGGAACUUUUCCAGACACUAAGAAGUGAAAGGGAUCAUACGAAGGACUAUCAAGACGAGGACAAUCCACAAGUAUAAUUAUUGAGAAAUUAGACCCCAGGAAUUUUGUAGGGCAGAGAUACUGAGAAAAAAGGAAAUGCAGGGGAAGAGAAUUCCAGACAUGCAUAUGGUUGGGUUCCAUUUGUGAUGUAGAUCGCACGAACAACAGGCCAGGGGCACCCCACCUGCCUGAAUGACUUGAGUCACCCGAGGAGACGAUACACAGUGGUAUAUAAUUCCCAUUCUCCCUAACAAAAAUAGUUCGCAUUUCUUUCCUUCGGAAGACGAAGGAGCUAGGGCAACUUUCAGUUUCAGGAGACUAAGGGGGUGGCUUGUUGGACCACCUUAUUCUGCUGUAACAAGAGGAAGCAAUGUGGGUAUCACCACCCACCACCACUUAUCACACUUCCAAUGGUGCUCAAGAAGAGUCAGUUUUUUGGAAGAAAAUCAGGUGUUUUACUUAUCCCUGGGAGCAUACGCUGGGCUUUCUCAUGCGUGCCUGUCUACUGUUUCAACGGUAUAGACCAGGAGUCGGACCUCCCUACUCCAUAAUCUGAGCUCCCACUUUCAGAUUGAUUGCAUCACUGCUGACGGAAAAUUGCAGACCAAGAAAAAGAAAAACACUAAGAAGAAAACAACAAAUAUAAUUGCGAGGCCUUUCAAAAGAUCUGUUAAAGACUAGUGAAUUCUACACGUUCCCACUAUACAAAAUCCCAGAUCUUAAAUAAACACCCUAUGAUUAUUAGUAGAUUACUACAUAUAACCCUUAUCUUCUUUCCUUUAUUCCCCUUUCUCCGUGCUUUAUGGGGGAGCAACCCCUUACUGUCCACCUGUGAAUUGAUAAGGAUUACCUAAUUUUUUGACCGAUGUUAUUAUUACUUUUUGAUGACUGAAAAUGAAACAACUAGAAUAUAAACUUUACUCGAUGUAAAUGACAAUGAAGCUCUUUCUUUACUGGAUCGUUGUAAAAACUAUAGACAGGAAAGUGACGUGAGUUUGUGUUUUGCUUGAUGUUGAGAUGUUAAUCCAUGU